rnacentral:rRNA from 1 species
GACGAACGCUGGCGGCGUGCCUAAUACAUGCAAGUUGAGCGAUGAAGCUUGGUGCUUGCACCAAUUUGAAGAGCAGCGAACGGGUGAGUAACGCGUGGGGAAUCUGCCUUUGAGCGGGGGACAACAUUUGGAAACGAAUGCUAAUACCGCAUAACAACUUUAAACAUAAGUUUUAAGUUUGAAAGAUGCAAUUGCAUCACUCAAAGAUGAUCCCGCGUUGUAUUAGCUAGUUGGUGAGGUAAAGGCUCACCAAGGCGAUGAUACAUAGCCGACCUGAGAGGGUGAUCGGCCACAUUGGGACUGAGACACGGCCCAAACCCCUACGGGAGGCAGCAGUAGGGAAUCUUCGGCAAUGGACGAAAGUCUGACCGAGCAACGCCGCGUGAGUGAAGAAGGUUUUCGGAUCGUAAAACUCUGUUGGUAGAGAAGAACGUUGGUGAGAGUGGAAAGCCCAUCAAGUGACGGUAACUACCCAGAAAGGGACGGCUAACUACGUG